ACACCUCUUAGUGGCUGCCCCUUUGCAGGCCUUCUUGGGCCAGGCCAUAGGAGCUCAGAGUAUGGCGUUGGGGACACCCUCCCUUUCCUCCAGCUCAACCUAGGAUCCUUAGGAGUCUCCUAGUUUCCUCAAUUCUCAUAAUUGAUGAAGACUGGUGAGAUGCUCCUAAAAUACCUCCGUCCCCAGCUCUGCCUCAUAGCAGCCCCACUUCUCAGAAGCUCAUGACUUUGGGCCUGUACUUCAAAUGUGUGAUUUGCACAGCUUUCUGCAGGACACUGGUUAUUCUGGAAGCAGCACUGGACAGAAAAGCUCAGCUCUGCCAAGGCCAGCUCGUUACUGGCUCGUAUCCGGAGACCAUCCAGCUCCUUCCUGUGGGCCUGCAGCACCAGCUCUGUCAGACGCGUGAAAGACUGGAAAACCAAGGGGCACGGGUUAGCCAGCGUCUUCUCUUCCCGGCAACUCUGUAACGCCCAAGGGGCCAGUCCUAUCUUAUCUUGGCUCCUGUCUCCACCUCCUCCUCUCACCUCCCCACUCUGCGGACUCAGCCAGAGGCAGGGCAGCUGCUGCCCAGUGGUCUCACCUCUUUAAUAUUGAGCACAAGGAGGAUAGGAAUCCAUUUCCUCACUGCAAAACAUAGCUAUGCCUGGAUGUGAUUCAAGAAGACAUUAGCAACUUGAAGUCCUUCCUCAUCCCUAACAGGGAUGCUCUGGGCCUGAAGGUGCUGUGGAACAUGUGAGAGGACCUGACGAUGGUGAGUGCACUCCCAGUCCCCGCUCCCAGGACUGGCCCUGGAGGUACUAC